AUGAAAAAAAACAUAAGGGGUAACACUGUUGUUUUUAAUUGGUCGUCAUGAAAAAAAACAUUGGGGGUAACACUGUUGUUUUUUAUUGGUCGUCAUGAAAAAAAACAUUGGGGGUAACACUGUUGUUUUUCUUUGGUCGUCAUGAAAAAAAACACAAGGGGUAACACUGUUGUUUUUUAUUGGUCGUCAAGAAAAAAAACAUAAGGGGUAACUCUGUCGUUUUUUAUCGGCCGUAAUGAAAUAAACAUAAGGGGUGAACCUGUCGAUAUUGAUCAAAUAAAACAUUGGGGGUAACACUGUUGUUUUUCUUUGGUGGUCAUGAAAAAAAACACAAGGGGUAACACUGUUGUUUUAAUCAAAUGAAACAUGAGGGGUAACACUGUCGUUUUUAUCAAAUGAAACAUAAGGGGUAACACUGUUGUUUUUCUUUGGUCGUCAUGAAAAAAAACAUCAUGAAGAAAAACAUAAGUUUUUUAUUGGUCGUCAUGAAGAAAAACAUAAGGGGUAACUCUGU
rnacentral:lncRNA from 1 species